CCUACGGGGGGCUGCAGUAGGGAAUCUUCCACAAUGGGCGCAAGCCUGAUGGAGCAACGCCGCGUGUGUGAUGAAGGCUUUCGGGUCGUAAAGCACUGUUGUAUGGGAAGAAAUGCUAGAAUAGGGAAUGAUUCUAGUUCGACGGUACCAUACCAGAAAGGGACGGCUAAAUACGUGCCAGCAGCCGCGGUAAUACGUAUGUCCCGAGCGUUAUCCGGAUUUAUUGGGCGUAAAGCGAGCGCAGACGGUUGAUUAAGUCU
rnacentral:rRNA from 1 species